GGAUUGCAAAUGUUACUCUGGAACGACACUUUACGUCAAUGCAUCAAAUCCGGUUUUCCCAGAGCGCGGCUCAAAUGUCAAAACCUUUUUUCAUCUUAAGUCACGUGUGCGCCGCCUACUGCAACAACCGAAGGAAUAGUCAUGGGUGAUCUCGGCAGUGCAGGGUAACAAUGUGGGCUAUCGAGACAGAUGCCCGCAGGAAGAAUCUAUGGGCCAGCGCUGUACCCACAUUGUCAAAAACACAGAUAUACGCCACGUUAUUUGAAAACAGUCUUAAAGCAUGUUCGUAAAGUGUCGUCUCAGAUAAGCCUGUGCAGUUCACACAAGCUUAUCAGUGACAACACUUUUCGCAAAGACUGUAUUUUAGUUAAGAAUAUAUUCUUUUUAAACAAACAAACAUUCGAGCGAAAGCGUUAUCCCUGAUUAGCCUGUAAAGACUGCACAUGCAUUGAGUCCGGUUUUCCAGAGUGCUGGUCGUAUUCAUUAGUGCACCCACCUUGUCAAAACCACAAGAGAGCCCCCACGCAGUGUUUUGUAUGCACGUGGCGACCACAGACAGUUGCAUGUUCCUCCUGACUGGAGGCUCGUACAUGCGUGACCGGUUCCGGGACCUCGGUUACCCCGCAAAUAGCUUCAUCAUGGCCAACGCUGCGGGAGACCUGACUAAGCACACCGCAGUCCGCUUAAAGAGUAUCGAAAUUUAAAGAUUGGCAAAUGUAUUUAGUUUAAACAUGUUUACUAAGCUUUGUUGCACCAAAGUCUUUUUCUCAGAGUUAUUUAGAUGCUCUUCAGUCUUAUGAUGAAGCAAAUUAUAAAUGGAAUAUUUAUCGAAGCAUUACCAAUAACUUCUUUAUAGUUAAUGUAGCAAACCAAAAUUUCGAAUAAUUGUCUUAUUCUGUUUUAUUGAACUCUUCUUUCAUUUGUACGAUAUUUUCAUGCAUAUUUUUUACUUGCACACAUUUUCAAAAGGUUCAAGUGCAUUUUUAAAGCAUUCUUUUAUCUGAAGCUUUUAUACAAUCCUUAAUGAAAUCAAGAUAUUAUUUAAAGCUUAAGCUCAUGGGUUAAAAUUCCCGUGACAAAAUGUUCAGGGGGUACAGUACCCUUGUGUGAAAAAAACCUUAUUUGGAGCCCUGUUCUUUGCUGUCAGAAAACAACAGAAAAUCCCAAGAAAACACUGUACAACAAAAUUAUCAGCUUACAAAGUAACACAUUAUACAAAAGUUUCUAGUUGCUAUAACCAAAAUGGAACGUACUUACCCCCGCGUCACUUUGAUCUGUGCGUAUGUACUCAUUGAAGCUCAACGCAUUCAAGAAGGACUUAAACAGUGUUUUUUUCCAUGUAAGGUCCCAGCUGAUAGAGGGCACAUAUGUGAUAAUUGAGUCGUACACCAAGAAGCCCGCUCCAAUUGGGGGACAGUCAGCCCCGGGGUCCCGAGGCCACGCCCCAGGGUCACAAUAACUUCAUCACAGACGUUGCCCUGUGUCAGGCCUUACCGCGCCUCAUGUUGACGGCGUCGAGAAACGGUGUCGUGAAAGUGUGGAAAUAGAGGUUUGGUUGUGUGUGUAUUGGAAGGUAGGGAUUAUAGUGGUUUAAGUGGGUGGUUUAUUGGUAAUUUUGGUUUGGAUGGAGGGAUGUGGGAUUAUGACAGGGAGGUUGGUGGGGAGGUUAAUUUAAUAAUUGCGUUUUAAAAGGUUGGCGAUGUUGAAGUGUAGAAAUAUAGAAGAUGUAGGAAUAGGGAAUGUGUUGAUUAUUAUGAUUGAGGUUUUAGAACAUUGGUAUGUAAGGUGUGGAAAAAGGGCAGAGAUUCAGCGUAGAUUGUGGGUGAGGAUGGGUCGCUUAUGGACAUUAUAGUGACCGAUAGUAUCGUGUUCAGAUACUAUGAUAAAUACCAAUAGGUUUGUAAACUUUGAUAUACAUUGUAAAAUAUAUAAACAACUUGUUAUUUAUAAAGAUAAUGUGGAUACGACAAUUAUAAUUUGUGUAUGUGUGAUAAUAUGUUUUCUCUCUUUUUUACAGAAUGUGUUAUCUUUUCAUUUUAAAUUUAAGCAAAUUGUGAAAUACUUUCCCCAUGAUGAUCUUUAAGGAAAUUGAUUACGUAAAACAUUAUCGACUCUUUACUAUCAAGUGUGUUUCUGAUUUUUUAUAUCGUAGUGUGACUGUAAUUGUUCUUGUGAACUUGUUCCUUUCCUGAAACUGUCAAUGUGUUGUCCAUGUUAUUGUUGCUUGCGUCUGCAAAUUAUAAUACAGUUUAAGGAUUUAGUUUUCUGCGAAUGUUUGAUUAUUCUAAGCUUUUCCAUAAAGACCAUAUGAAACAUGACCUUAGACAUCUCUGAUUUUCAAAAUUUAUAUUACUCAUCCAAAGAUACUAUUGGACGUCCCGACUCACUUAAUUUUAAGUAAAAGUAUGCAUAUUGAUUGUGUUUACGGAUCAAAACACUACUCUACUGGUCCUUAUAGUGAAACAAAGACUUAAAUAAUUUGUUAAGGUUUAUGAUCUUACAAUUGUUUUCAAGCCUGACUGCUAUGUUCAUUUAGCUAAUCUCUAUAUAUGUAUUGAGCACUUUAUAUUGUUUUGUUUUGAAUGUGCACUUGUUUGAAAAGAUACAUUUGCAUUGAAUAACCAACUGUUCACCUUUUCACAAUUUUCACCUUCGUUUUGCAGUAUUAUGAAAUAAUGUAUAAUCGUUUAUUAAUAAUAACAUGACAUUUAGAAUGAGUAUUGAAUCAAAAGAUUUUUAGAUCGCUUGGGCAUUCUGAAAUAUGACCGUAACCUGCUUAAUUAAAAUGAUGUCAUUAGUGUUGAUUCGGGUGUAUGCAUUUUGUUAACUUGAAGAAACUUGAUAGAUUUCUACAAUGUUACGCCGCUUCUUAUAAUUAUUUCUCUUUGGUUUAUGAUAGAAACUUUAACCCGAUUAUUUGUAUUGUCGUUGCCCAUUUAUAUAUUUAUGUGACUUUAUACGUUUGCAGUUUGAAAAAUCUCCAAAGCGUACAACGUUAGUGCAUGGAAUCGAUUUACUACCAAUAUUUGCAAUAUGCUUUAUUUAUGUCAUGAAAUAAAAAAUAAAAAUAAA